rnacentral:lncRNA from 1 species
AGGAGAGAAAAUAUAUUAUUUUCUUGUAGUUCAAAAAUUCAAGAAUUACUUUCUGGAUUAAUUGAAAGAAGGUGCCAACACAUCGAUAUAGUCUUUGGGUUGGAGAAUACCAUAGAAGGCUUGAAAAUUUGAAGCACCAAGAUUCUUGCAAUUAAAGGAGACGGAAGUUCGCGGAUCAGAGUUAUUUCAUGGUUGAUCAUUGAACUUAGGUAAAAAAAUUCAAAUCCUUUAAUUUUGUUAUAACAUACACGUGAACAUUUAGAUGAUCUUAUUUAUUGAAUUAAAGAAAAUUUUAAUUUUUGAUUAAUUCUACUUCCACAUUCCAACAGAAACUUGUUUUCUUAAUUUUGAAAUAUGUCAUACUUAAUCUUUCGCUUGUGAAAUUUCCCCCCCUUUUUUAGACCCUUUCAAGUUGGAGUCCUUAGGCAAUUGCCUUGGUCACCUUGUGCUAGGCCAGCCCUGAUACAUCUAUUUGUUCAUGGUUGAGUAGUACCAGAUUUGAAGGUUGGGGCAAAAAGAAAAUGGAGUGGGAUUUGAUCUCGAAUUGGAUGACUGGUAGAUCACUUUUGAGAAUUGUCGUAAGGGGAGAAUUUAAUCCAAUAUUCGAGCGGCGAUGCGAGAUUCCGGUGGCAUAAAGUGUCAAUGGGCACUUUGAAAGGCUGCUUACUGGAACUUUAUUUUGAUUUUUAUUUUAAAUUUUGCCUGUCUCAAUGGAAUUUGAGGGCCUUUUUUAUUUUUAUUGUCAUAUAUGAUCGAGAAUUCAUUAUUGGUUAUGGGAUUUGUCAAAUAUCAAAUUGACACCACACCAUAUAUGUUUUUGAGUUACUGUAAAGUUAUUUUUGUUUUGAAUUUGAA